rnacentral:rRNA from 1 species
UUGGGAGCUCUCCCAUAUGGUCGACCUGCAGGCGGCCGCGAAUUCACUAGUGAUUAGAGUUUGAUCAUGGCUCAGGAUGAACGCUGGCGGUGUGCCUAAUACAUGCAAGUCGAACGGGGUGCAGCAAUGUACCUAGUGGCGACCGGGUGCGUAACACGUAGCUGACCUGCCCCUCAGCGGGGGACAACAGACCGAAAGGACUGCUAAUACCGCAUGACCUCCGGGUUUUUAGAAAGCCUGGCGGAAACUUACGGGGCUGAGGGAGGGGGCUGCGGCCCAUCAGGUAGUUGGUGAGGUAAAAGCUCACCAAGCCAACGACGGGUCGGGGACCUGAGAGGGUGGUCCCCCACACUGGGACCGACAAACGGUCCAGACUCCUACGGGAGGCAGCAGUAAGGGAAUAUUGCCCAAUGGCCGAAAGGCUGAGGCAGCAACGCCGCGUGCGCGAUGAAGGCCUUCGGGUCGUAAAGCGCUUUUCGGGUGGAUGAGGCAGGACAGUACACCCGGAAUAAGGAACGGCUAACUACGUGCCAGCAGCCGCGGUAAUAAAUCGAAUUCCCGCGGCCGCCAUGGCGGCCGGAAGCAUGCGACGUCGGGCCCA